CAUUCCAUAUUGAAAAUCACCCAGAAAAUUCGUCUCCUAAAACAGAAUUGCACUCGUGUACGAGUUCCGCAAGUUCGACGUGGAUGGUCACUCUGUCCAUCCUAAGUUUCCUAAGUUCUGCGAAAUCCUCAACGAUCGCGGCUCGGAGCAAAGGAUUGAACCUGUCAUCAGACAGACGCUAGACGAUGUGAAGUCUUCGUCCCACGCAGACCUAAGCGUUGAAGUUUUAGAAUAAGAUAGUCUUCCACACCUAGCCCAAUUUUAGGUACUCGGCAAGCCUUUAAUUUUAGUAAGAUAUAACGACAUUUUAAGAAGUCGAAUUGAUUAAAUAAAAAUCGUUAAGUGCUUCAAAUAAAAUACCUAAGGCUAAAUAAGUUUAUUGUUUAAGGUAAAUCCAUGGCGAGAAUACAUCGAGAUAUUAAACUAAUAUUCAAAUACUA